UACGUAGGACGCAAGCGUUAUCCGGAUUCACUGGGCGUAAAGAGCGUUGAGGCGGUCCUGUAAGUUGGACGUGAAAGCCCCCGGCCUAACUGGGGGAUGCCGUUCAAUACUGCAGGACUUGAGGGCAGCAGAGGGAGGUGGAAUUCCCGGUGUAGUGGUGAAAUGCGUAGAUAUCGGGAGGAACACCAGUGGCGAAGGCGGCCUCCUGGGCUGCUUCUGACGCUGAAGGCGAAAGCUAGGGGAGCGAACGGG
rnacentral:rRNA from 1 species